CCCCCAAAGCCUCAGUGGUGGCCCUCACCACCUCGGUGGCCCCCAAAGCCUCAGUGGUGGCCCUCACCACCUCAGUGGCCCUCACCAUCACCUCGGUGGUUCCCAAAACCUCUAUGGUCCCCAACUCUUCGGUGGUCCCCAAAGCCUCAGUGGCCCCCAGCAUCUCAGUGAUCCCAAACGCAUCAGUGACCAUCCCCAACACCUUGGUGGCCACCAACGCCUCUGUGAGUGGUACAAAAGUGAUGAAGGUAAGUAAAGGCAUGGCAAGAAGGUUGUUGGCUGGGCUGUUAGAGCCCCAUGGACGUGGUCUGUAGCCCAACUGAUCUCUCAUGAGAACAAGGAGCUUCAUGAGAGCAUCCCCUCUGGAAGGGGAGCACCUCGUGCAUGGUGGGUGCAUGGAAGCAGCUUCUGUAGACAGCGAGGCCAUGGCUGGGAGCAGCACGUGGUGCAUUGCAAGGAGGCUUUGCUGCAUGGUGACACCCUGGUGUGCUCUCCCUCCAGCUCCAGCUCACCUGCCACAGCUUCCAGUGCUCUGGGGAGAGGUGUUACCAGGAUGGAGCCCACACCAACGAGACGGUGACCUGCCAUAAUGAGACUUACUGUGAGCUGUAUCGUUUCUCCAGCACAAACUACACAGCCAGGUGCAGCAGUGCCUGUGGCUCGGGGAUGUGCAGGGCCAACAGCAGCAUGAGCACACGGGAGUGUGCCCUGGACUGCUGCAACUCCUCCCUCUGCCUGCAGCUCAACGCCAGCUCCUAUGGUGACCUUCCCCCUGCCACCACACCACUGAUGACCACUACAUCCAGAGCUCCCCCCCAGAACGGGAAGGUGUGCGCAGCGUUCUCCUGUCACGGGGAUGGAUGUUUCAAAGGCAAGAAGGCUGUUGCUAGAUGCAGUGUUGGGCAGGACUUCUGUGAGAUGAAGAAGAUGGGCUUGAAUUACAUGUCAGGAUGCAGCAAAGCCUGCAAGGCUGCCAAACCAGUCUGUGCUGCUGGGAUGAAGGCUGCCUGUUACCAGGAGUGCUGCCCAGCCACCCCGAGAGCCAGCUGCCUGAGGCUGGAUGGCAAAGUCCACGUCAAUGGUGCUGGGCGGGUGACUGCAGCCCUGUUCUGGAAGCUCAUGGUGUGUGGGGUGGUUCUUCUCCUCACUUCCAGGGGCUCUGCUCCCCUCUGGGGGUAAGCAGCAGCCCAGAUGCUCUGCAGUGCUCCUCAGCAUCCCUGCUGCUCUCUGGCUUCAGCCAAGGCCGCUAUUGAACACCCUCUGUUCCAUCCCUGUCCCAAGGUGGCCCAGUUGCAUGUGCCUCCUGCCCACAGGGCAAGCUCAGGCCUCUGAGCUUGGCUCAGUUGCUGCCCUGCACAGGCCCUGGGUGCUGAUUCCCAAAUCCCACCUCUCAUCCCUAAGCUCCACUCCAAAUCCUGCACCUUCCCAGGAGGGGUGAGUCCUGCAUCCUCUUUAGCAUCUUACAUUCACUGAGUUUUAACUCCUUGUGAUUGAGACUCCCCCAGUGUAGCCAGAGGAAAAGCAUUUAAUCCAUGCACUAAGGAAGCUGCAAAGGGCUGUUCUUCCCCGUGCUGCCAGAAACCUGGAGGCUUGGGAGGUGUGCAAGCUACCACGGGUUUCUGGGAGCUGCUGCAGCUGGGGCUAUGGAUGCUGGAUGGAGCAUCCUAUGGAUGCUGGAUGGACCUUGGGAGCAGGAACAGGACAGGGUUAAGCCUCCUUAAAGUUCUGCCUUGACUGAAGGCACAGAGCCUGCUUUAGGUGAUAAUCUGCUCCCAGCAUGGCCUUUUUGGGCAUCCUCUUGUUAGCUGAAAACUGCUCUGGUAUUGGGAUAGCUCUUGUCUGGGCUGGUGGCAUUAGGAACUGUCUCCUCUCCCGUUGUGAAGCAGGAAAACAGGAUUCAUCUAAAAGCAUCUCCUGUUGUAGCUGAUCCCCUUUCACUGCUGUUCUCUGCUGCUAAAGCAGAGCAGAGCCAGGACGUGAACCACCUCCAGCCUCCUCCUGCAUCAGCCAG
rnacentral:lncRNA from 14 species